AUGCCGUACAAGGACAGGGCAAGGGCAGAGGAUGCGGUGUGUCAUAUGGAGGAACUCUUCGAGCAAGAUGAUGUGGUGAGAGGUCAUGCCCAAAGGGACACUGUGCUCCAGUUCCCAGCAAAAAUGACCGUCCAGGAGGGACACAAUGCAACUCUGCACUGCAACUUCUCCACCAGCUAUUUCAAUCCUUACAUCAUCUGGUACCAGCAGCGCCAGACCCAGUCCCCUCAGGUGCUGCUGCGGGUGGACAAAUGGAAACCUCAGGUGGAUUCAGGGAGGUUCUCCUCCAAGCUGUCUGCAGAGGACUCCCAGGUGUCUCUGGAUGUGCAGGGUGCUGAGCUCCAGGACAGCGCUGCCUACUUCUGUGCACUGAGCCCACACUGGUGCCCACAGCUUGCAGCGCUGCACAGAAACGUGGUGGGGCUCUGA